rnacentral:rRNA from 1 species
GACGAACGCUGGCGGCGUGCCUAAUACAUGCAAGUAGAACGCUGAAGGAGGAGCUUGCUUCUCUGGAUGAGUUGCGAACGGGUGAGUAACGCGUAGGUAACCUGCCUGGUAGCGGGGGAUAACUAUUGGAAACGAUAGCUAAUACCGCAUAAGAGUAGAUGUUGCAUGACAUUUGCUUAAAAGGUGCAAUUGCAUCACUACCAGAUGGACCUGCGUUGUAUUAGCUAGUUGGUGGGGUAACGGCUUACCAAAGCGACGAUACAUAGCCGACCUGAGAGGGUGAUCGGCCACACUGGGACUGAGACACGGCCCAGACUCCUACGGGAGGCAGCAGUAGGGAAUCUUCGGCAAUGGACGGAAGUCUGACCGAGCAACGCCGCGUGAGUGAAGAAGGUUUUCGGAUCGUAAAGCUCUGUUGUAAGAGAAGAACGAGUGUGAGAGUGGAAAGUUCACACUGUGACGGUAUCUUACCAGAAAGGGACGGCUAACUACGUG